rnacentral:piRNA from 1 species
UGUGCAUCCUCAAUUCUUCUUUGUGCCCCA